rnacentral:rRNA from 1 species
UACGUAGGGUGCGAGCGUUGUCCGGAAUUAUUGGGCGUAAAGAGCUCGUAGGCGGUUUGUCGCGUCGGAUGUGAAAGCCCGGGGCUUAACUCCGGGUCUGCAUUCGAUACGGGCAGGCUAGAGUUCGGUAGGGGAGAUCGGAAUUCCUGGUGUAGCGGUGAAAUGCGCAGAUAUCAGGAGGAACACCGGUGGCGAAGGCGGAUCUCUGGGCAGUAACUGACGCUGAGGAGCGAAAGCGUGGGGAGCGAACAGG